CUUGCUUCUCUUGAGAGCGGCGGACGGGUGAGUAAUGCCUAGGAAUCUGCCUGGUAGUGGGGGAUAACGUUCGGAAACGGACGCUAAUACCGCAUACGUCCUACGGGAGAAAGCAGGGGACCUUCGGGCCUUGCGCUAUCAGAUGAGCCUAGGUCGGAUUAGCUAGUUGGUGGGGUAAUGGCUCACCAAGGCGACGAUCCGUAACUGGUCUGAGAGGAUGAUCAGUCACACUGGAACUGAGACACGGUCCAGACUCCUACGGGAGGCAGCAGUGGGGAAUAUUGGACAAUGGGCGAAAGCCUGAUCCAGCCAUGCCGCGUGUGUGAAGAAGGUCUUCGGAUUGUAAAGCACUUUAAGUUGGGAGGAAGGGUUGUAGAUUAAUACUCUGCAAUUUUGACGUUACCGACAGAAUAAGCACCGGCUAACUCUGUGCCAGCAGCCGCGGUAAUACAGAGGGUGCAAGCGUUAAUCGGAAUUACUGGGCGUAAAGCGCGCGUAGUGGUUUGUUAAGUUGGAUGUGAAAUCCC
rnacentral:rRNA from 1 species